AUUGAACGCUGGCGGCAUGCUUUGCACAUGCAAGUCGAACGGCAGCGGGGGCUUCGGCCUGCCGGCGAGUGGCGAACGGGUGAGUAAUGCAUCGGAACGUGCGCAUGUCGUGGGGGAUAACGUAUCGAAAGGUACGCUAAUACCGCAUACGCCCUGAGGGGGAAAGCGGGGGAUUCUUCGGAACCUCGCGCGAUUGGAGCGGCCGAGGUCGGAUUAGCUAGUAGGUGAGGUAAAGGCUCACCUAGGCGACGAUCCGUAGCGGGUCUGAGAGGAUGAUCCGCCACACUGGGACUGAGACACGGCCCAGACUCCUACGGGAGGCAGCAGUGGGGAAUUUUGGACAAUGGGCGCAAGCCUGAUCCAGCCAUGCCGCGUGAGUGAAGAAGGCCUUCGGGUUGUAAAGCUCUUUCGGCCGGGAAGAAAUCGCAUUCUCUAAUAUAGGAUGUGGAUGACGGUACCGGACUAAGAAGCACCGGCUAACUACGUGCCAGCCGCCGCGGUAA
rnacentral:rRNA from 1 species